CAGCGGAUGGCCAGGACUUCCAGGCCGGCUGCGCGAGCCAGGCGCUCGUCGUGGGUGGCGACCACGGUGCAGGCGCCGCGCUCGCGGGCC
rnacentral:tRNA from 2 species